UACGAAGGGGGCUAGCGUUGUUCGGAAUUACUGGGCGUAAAGCGUAUGUAGGCGGAUCGUUAAGUCGGGGGUGAAAUCCCGAGGCUCAACCUCGGAACUGCCUUCGAUACUGGCGAUCUUCGAGUCCGGGAGAGGUGAGUGGAACUCCGAGUGUAGAGGUGAAAUUCGUAGAUAUUCGGAAGAACACCAGUGGCGAAGGCGGCUCCACUGGCCCGGUACUGACGCUGAAAUACGAAAGCGUGGGGAGCAAACAGG
rnacentral:rRNA from 1 species